rnacentral:rRNA from 1 species
CAGCCGCCGCGGUAAUACGUAGGGUGCGAGCGUUAAUCGGAAUUACUGGGCGUAAAGCGUGCGCAGGCGGUUCGUUAAGACAGAUGUGAAAUCCCCGGGCUCAACCUGGGAACUGCAUUUGUGACUGGCAAGCUAGAGUAUGGCAGAGGGGGGUGGAAUUCCGCGUGUAGCAGUGAAAUGCGUAGAUAUGCGGAGGAACACCGAUGGCGAAGGCAGCCCCCUGGGCCAAUACUGACGCUCAUGCACGAAAGCGUGGGGAGCAAACAGGAUUAGAUACCCGAGUAGUCCCUGUCUCUUAUAC